AGCGAACGCUGGCGGCAGGCCUAACACAUGCAAGUCGAACGAACCUUUCGGGGUUAGUGGCGGACGGGUGGGUAACACGUGGGAACGUGCCCUUAGGUUCGGAAUAACUCAGGGAAAGUUGUGCUAAUACCGAAUGUGCCCUUCGGGGGAAAGAUUACUCGCCUUUAGAGCGGCCCGCGUCUGAUUAGCUGGUUGGUUGAGGUAAUGGCUCACCACGGCGACGAUCAGUAGCUGGUCUGAGAGGAUGAUCAGCCACAUUGGGACUGAGACACGGCCCAAACUCCUACGGGAGGCAGCAGUGGGGAAUAUUGCGCAAUGGGCGAAAGCCUGACGCAGCCAUGCCGCGUGAAUGAUGAAGGUCUUAGGAUUGUAAAAUUCUUUCACCGGGGACGAUAAUGACGGUACCCGGAGAAGAAGCCCCGGCUAACUUCGUG
rnacentral:rRNA from 1 species